rnacentral:rRNA from 1 species
UACGUAGGGUCCGAGCGUUGUCCGGAAUUACUGGGCGUAAAGAGCUCGUAGGUGGUUUGUCGCGUUGUUCGUGAAAACUCACAACUCAAUUGUGGGCGUGCGGGCGAUACGGGCAGACUAGAGUACUGCAGGGGAGACUGGAAUUCCUGGUGUAGCGGUGGAAUGCGCAGAUAUCAGGAAGAACACCAAUGGCGAAAGCAGCUCUCUGGGACGGUACUGACGCUGAGACGCGAAAGCGUGGGGAGCGAACAGG